rnacentral:misc_RNA from 1 species
GACGGAGGGCGCAAGCGUUGUUCGGAAUCAUUGGGCGUAAAGGGCGCGCAGGCGGCCUCACCAAGUCCGGUGUGAAACCCCGGGGCUCAACCCCGGAAGCGCAUUGGAAACUGGGAGGCUUGAGUCCGAGAGAGGUCAGUGGAAUUCCUGGUGUAGGGGUGAAAUCCGUAGAUAUCAGGAGGAACACCAGCGGCGAAGGCGACUGACUGGAUCGGGACUGACGCUGAGGCGCGAAAGCAUGGGUAGCGAACAGG